rnacentral:rRNA from 1 species
GACGAACGCUGGCGGCGUGCCUAAUACAUGCAAGUAGAACGCUGAAGGAGGAGCUUGCUUCUCUGGAUGAGUUGCGAACGGGUGAGCAACGCGUAGGUAACCUGCCUGGUAGCGGGGGAUAACUAUUGGAAACGAUAGCUAAUACCGCAUAAUAGUAGAUGUUGCAUGACAUUUGCUUAAAAGGUGCAAUUGCAUCACUACCAGAUGGACCUGCGUUGUAUUAGCUAGUUGGUGAGGUAACGGCUCACCAAGGCGACGAUACAUAGCCGACCUGAGAGGGUGAUCGGCCACACUGGGACUGAGACACGGCCCAGACUCCUACGGGAGGCAGCAGUAGGGAAUCUUCGGCAAUGGACGGAAGUCUGACCGAGCAACGCCGCGUGAGUGAAGAAGGUUUUCGGAUCGUAAAGCUCUAUUGUAAGAGAAGAACGAGUGUGAGAGUGGAAAGUUCACACUGUGACGGUAUCUUACCAGAAAGGGACGGCUAACUACGUG